rnacentral:misc_RNA from 1 species
GAAAUGCGAUAAGUAAUGUGAAUUGCAGAUUUUCGUGAAUCAUUAAAUCUUUGAACGCACCUUGCGCCCUCUGGUAUCCCGGGGGGCAUAUCUGUUUGAGAAUCAGUUUAACCCUCACCCCCUUGUGUUUUAGGACAUGAGAGGGUGGAAUUGAGACGUCUCUCGUUGUAGAGUGUCUUUAAAGGCAUGACCGCCUUUUGAGUUGAACAUACAUGUUUAAAGGCAAGAUGACUGGGCAGUAUUGCUCUUAACUUUGCUUAGUUGGCAAGUAUGGGAGGCUCCAAAGGGAGGGCAUUAACCAACACGAAAGCUUUGGCUUUUAAGACUUGGUCUCAAAUCAGAUAAGACUACCCGCUGAACUUAA